UCUUUUAAAGUAAUUAUUUACUUUUAAUUUCGACUUAAAAAUUGAUUAUUUUAAAUAAUCUAAAAGAU
rnacentral:tRNA from 1 species